rnacentral:rRNA from 1 species
AGCGAACGCUGGCGGCAGGCCUAACACAUGCAAGUCGAACGAUCCUUCGGGAUAGUGGCGGACGGGUGAGUAACACGUGGGAACGUGCCCUUUGGUUCGGAAUAACUCAGGGAAACUUGAGCUAAUGCCGGAUGUGCCCUUCGGGGGAAAGAUUUAUCGCCAUUGGAGCGGCCCGCGUUGGAUUAGCGAGUUGGUGGGGUAAAGGCCCACCAAGGCUACGAUCCAUAGCUGGUCUGAGAGGAUGAUCAGCCACACUGGGACUGAGACACGGCCCAGACUCCUACGGGAGGCAGCAGUGGGGAAGCUCGCGCAAUGGGCGAAAGCCUGACGCAGCCAUGCCGCGUGAAUGAUGAAGGUCUUAGGAUUGUAAAAUUCUUUCACCGGGGACGAUAAUGACGGUACCCGGAGAAGAAGCCCCGGCUAACUUCGUGCCAGCCGCCGCGGUAAAAC